UAAACAGCUGCGCCAUGAGCGCAUGAUACGCCCGUCGUUCGCCAAUGAAGUAGUAAGGUAAUAAAUAACCCUUUGAAUCAUUUUUUUACUUCAGUUUAUUUGUAUUUGAAUACAUGGUUUAUUUUAUAAGUACAUGAGCAUGGAGCGCCGUCUCCUUGACAUUCAUACCAUAUCUUUUUUUGAGUAUAUGUAUGCAUUUCUUUAGAGGAUAUGGAGUUGAAGUAAACCUGUUAUAGAUAUUUUGACCAAUAAUAAAAGAGAAAUGUAGAUGGGUAAGUGGUAGUGUACAAUCGGAAUAGAAAAAAGCUCACCUUGUUCAAUUUUUCAGGGAUACUAAAAAAAAAAAAAAAAAAAAUCCAUCGAAGGAUAUUUGAGCUACAGUAGGACAUUCAAUGAAAUCACGAAAUUUUGACGAACAAAGUCCCAUAACUCUGGAACGACAAUUCAGAAUUCCGUCAAAAACGAAAGGGGAUCAGGGUUUAUCAAUAUUAAGAUUGUGUUGAAAUUUGAAAAAAAUCCAUCGAAGGAUAUUUGAGCUACAGUAGGACAUUCAAUGAAAUCACGAAAUUUUGACGAACAAAGUCCCAUAACUCUGGAACGACAAUUCAGAAUUCCGUCAAAAACGAAAGGGGAUCAGGGUUUAUCAAUAUUAAGAUUGUGUUAAAAUUUGAAGAAAAUCUGUCAAAGGAUAUUUGACGUAGCGUACGACAUUAACAGACGGACGGACGGACGGACGGACAGACGGACGCGGGGUAUACCAUAAUACGUCCCGUCAUAGA